UACGUAGGGGCCUAGCGUUGUCCGGAUUUAUUGGGCGUAAAGAGCUCGUAGGCGGUUCGUCGCGUCGGCUGUGAAAUCCCGAGGCUCAACCUCGGGUCUGCAGUCGAUACGGGCGGACUGGAGUUCGGCAGGGGAGACUGGAAUUCCUGGUGUAGCGGUGAAAUGCGCAGAUAUCAGGAGGAACACCGGUGGCGAAGGCGGGUCUCUGGGCCGAUACUGACGCUGAGGAGCGAAAGCGUGGGGAGCGAACAGG
rnacentral:rRNA from 1 species